rnacentral:rRNA from 1 species
GAUUCCUACGGGAGGCAGCAGCCGCGGUAAUAUUGCGCAAUGGAGGAAACUCUGACGCAGUGACGCCGCGUGCAGGAAGAAGGUUUUCGGAUUGUAAACUGCUUUAGACAGGGAAGAAAUAAGACAGUACCUGUAGAAUAAGCUCCGGCUAACUACGUGCCAGCAGCCGCGGUAAUAAU